AGCUUUGCGCAGUGGCAUUAUCAUAGCCAAUGAGGUUUAUCCAAGGCAUGAUUAUUGCUGAAU
rnacentral:snRNA from 1 species